rfam:Corchorus olitorius cultivar O-4 contig15285, whole genome shotgun sequence.
GUCCAUGAGGAUUAUCCAUCUGUUUGAGAUGUAGAUUUCUCCAAGACCCUGUUUCAGGGAGAACCUACUUGGGGUGCUACAUUAUUCUUGAAAUUACUGGAUCUCCUGAGAC